UGUCACAGCUGACUGGGGCAUCAUUAAUGCUUUGGGAAACACCUGCCUCAUCUCUGUGCUUUUCCUACAAUGACAAGACAAAAUGUCUGCUGUGUAAGGCCUGAUAUUAUUGCAAAUAUGAGUCGAUAACACAAGUUUUGGACAAAUUGAACAUUUUGAGUCAGGUAUCUCUCCCUCUUUCCUUGAAAACAAAGAAGAGUUGAUUCUCGAUCAAUUUUCCUUCCUUACAAUCUAGAUGGCAGCUAAGAUAACAAACUGAAGUUUAUUUAUCUUGUGUCUAACAAGAGCCCAACCUGUGUCAGACUUUUCUGGAGAUGCUUCAAGUCAAAAUGGGACCAAACUUUUUUAUGGAUGUCAGUUUUGGAGCCAACACAAAGUCUAAAAUGAAGGCUGCAGCCGACAAGGAGCGGGUCCUCUCCAGUGGUCGGCUUCGGAUUGGCCCUCUGGCACAUCCCCCGCUUCAGAGUCUGGAAGGCCUCCCUCCAGCCUCUGCACAGCCUGCCUAUUAUCCCUGGAGGAGCCUAAGGUGGCAUUGAUCUGGUCUCUGGGGUUCCCUGACAUUGUAACAGAGGGAGCGAGUGCGUCAGAGCAGUCCAUUCUUGGCACAGACGGGCAUAAAUGUUCCUGGACCAGACACAGAGAGGGGGAGGAUGAGCAUGAAGCAAAAGUAAAUCUCAUUCUUCAAGAUGUCGGGACACUUUAGGCCUCCUGGGGGAGGAUGACAUUUGAUCCUGCUCUCAUGAACUUGAUUCAAGGACAUACUCUUUCCCUUCUUUUUCUCCUUCAUUGUUUUGAAGAAAAACAUAACUUAAACCUCUAAAAACUGCAACUUCCUUCAGCCCAUAUUACACUGUGGUUAUAAAAAGGAAGGUCAGCCCUCUUCCUAGUCGACAGCGUUACCUAAUACCAACAUGACCCAAAGUGCACAGAGGACAGGAUAUGAUAAGUGGAUGAUUUCCAAAAAGCUCUCCAGUGUUAGAACGGAAGUGCAUUGCCCAUUUAGAAAGGAAAUUAGUGUUUAAUUUAUCUGCAAGCAAAGGUGGGGUCUGCUCAUUUGACACUUGAGCCUGGACUAGAAACAUUAAAUCCAUGUGAAUUCAAUUGAACAAUAAUGCUUUAUUGGUGAUGAGUAAUGCAUUGUAAGCACCUGUGUAUGAAUUAGGCCCUUUAUCCGCCCCAAUCAAACAUGAAUCAUAUCGAGUCCACGUUUAACACUUCUUCCACCUUAAACUUGCAAUAUUAAAACUUGUAACUUUCAAUUUGCACAAGCCCUUUCUCCACGACUGAACGAGGACGUGGGGUCCACUUUACAGGAUUAGAUUGGUAUUGAUUUCACAGGAGAGUUUAGUGUCCCGUGCUCUUAAUAGUGCUCAAGAAGUAUUUCUGUGGGAAUCAUUAAUGUAAACAAAUCACAGACGUGACAGUUAAAGUGAAUCGCCUCUGACCUGAUCUAAUCCCGCUUCCUGUGUAGAGUAUUGCUACAGGGUGUGAACUGUCAAGAGACCAGGAUUACACCGUCUUAAUCUGGAACAAUAUAUUGGCUUAGUCAGCUUUCUCAGACAUACUGUGUAUGUUUGCGAGGCUGCAUUGAUGAAUAUACACAGGCAAAUUGUUCAAACGUAAAACGUGCUUGCGCCUCAAAGCAUAUCAAUGAGUUGCCGAGACAGGUUUACCCUCAGAGAGUCGCUGAUAUUGUCCCUGUAGAUAAACCUAUAAAUAUCUGUCACUGUCACACCGAGGAGCAGGAGACAGAGAAGUGUGUACUAAUCCUCCACAAGUAAUCAUCAAAGGGCUGCCAAGCUGUCAAAGUAGGCUUCCUCUGAAGUGCAGAGGUAAAAUAAGGUUUCUCUUUGGGGGUGAGACAUAAACAGCAAACUCAAAUAAAAGUGUAAGGGACCAUUCAUGUGAAUUAAGACAUCAAUCAAUACAGAAUAGUGCCACAAAGAAAACUCAAGGGGUAAAAUCUAAUUAUUUUCAGGACAUUAGGACAAUCGAUAAAGUAAAUCCACCAUACUCGUAUAUUCGUACAUGUGGGUGAAGUUGUGUUAGGACGUUUCCACUGUGUGUUUAAGCACUGCUAUGUAUAUGGCUCUGUAAAUCUCUGUCGCCAUCUAAUGGAGAGGGUCAGGAAGUGUUGUGUGGGCAUGUUUGUAGGAGAAACAUUAGAUGUGCCCCAAACCCAUACUAAAUACUAAUGCCAUACAGAAUGUACUACAAACUCAGUGUCAUAGUAUACAGUUUAAGGAGUAAGAAAACCAAACAACGUGCAGAAGUACAUCAGUUUGAUAUUCAGAUCAUGUUUAUGCCAUACCAUUGCCGGAAACUACUUCAUUCUCAGUCCGCCAACGAAAUCCAAACUAUAAAAAAAGAAAAACACACAGCAUAAAUUAAAGUUGCCCCCUUAAAUUAAUAUUUUUAGUCCUAAAUCUGAUUGAAAAAGGUUUAUUUCAGGAAACCUAUCAUAACUCAGUGUUUGUCCGGUAUUUGAAUAGUCUUUAGCAUGCGAUAGCGUUUGUUUUGAUGACCUUUCAUGCUCUGAAAGGAUUAAAUCAAAAUGAAUCUACAUUGGCUCAAAGUAAACCUUUUUUUUGAAAGAAAUUCAACUGAUUCAACACAUAUCUUUAUGUAAAUACCGUUGAAUAUCAUCUUUAUGUAUUCUAGGUUUAGUCAUAAGAAUGAAUUUACAUAGAUCUCAUCGCACAUUCUGUGAUUCAUCUGCAUGCUGUCCCACUGAAUUUACGAACUUAUCAACAAUUCCCUAAACGUGUGAAAAUGAUGCACUUCUCUCUGCAUAUGCGAUCAUCAUACAAAUAUGAUUAAUGAUAAUUUUAUAGCACGUUUUUAGUGAACCGAUGGUGUGACUGUUGAUUAUAGUGAACUUGAUGAUAUUCAGAGUUUGUCUACCUCAACACUUUCACACUGGAAAGAUAUUUGAGCACAGGGUCGGUUUGCAGUUAUAAAGCCAUAAGCACACUGGCCCUGAGUUUAACAUAUUGUCCGUUUAAAAGCCUGGCCUCAAACCAGAAUGGCCCAGUGGACACAAGAGACAGAGCUCGCUGCCAAAACACAUCAUACCCCUAACAUUCAUCUUAAAAUGGUUCAGUAGUGGUGGACAUUAGUGUUUGAGUUAUACUGAUUCAACCUUUGUUCAGGACACCACCACUGGGACAAUUACUCUGAUUUUGGAGCACAACCCAAAUUUGGUCUUGCCAAGUCCUGGCGGCAGUGUCUGGGAUUGCUGAGGUGUCUGAAUGUAUUGUAUUAUUUGUCUUUAUUCUGAGGGUGGGUAAGCUACUUUUUAACUUCAAUCCUUUUUCUCAGCUGCCGCCACAACCACGCCUUACCUGGGAGAUUAAAACCUGAAUUGAGUUUUCUAAAACAGGUGCCACAGCAAGAUUUCUUUUUUAAAUGUUAGUAAAAAGAGGUGUUUUACUAACAGCAGCUCAAGGUUUUAACGGCCUGUAUGAAAGUCUGUUUUAUGGCCUGUAUAUUGCUACUAUAAAUGUAAAUGAAUUAAACAGAAUUACUCUACUUCAAAAGAAAUCGUUGUUUUGAUUUUAGGUUUAUAUUUGUGAUUGUGUAAAUAAAAUCGCGGAAUAUGCUGAAAAUUAGAUUUCAUGCAUAUUCCUAACCUUAACCACUGACAUACAGCUUUUUAAAACUUGAAGAAAUCUACAAACCCUUAAUGAAGCACAUAACGUGUUAAUAUGGAUUAUGUCUACAUCACAACAUAGCUGACAUACACAAAACACUACAAUACCCCUUGACCGAUUUUACUGAUGCAACACCAAAAUGUUGAGCUGCCCUAUUCUUAAUGGUCACUUGUCGUUAGUACUGCAUGUGCUGUCACAUUGUUUGAGAUAAACUAAACGCUCACUGCGGCUGUAUUUCUGCUCACACUGGGUGAUAAGUCAAUCAAUAAAUCAUUGUCCAUUCUUCCCACCUUGUUUUCCUUGUAUCUGCUUAGGUCAGCUAUGCAGUAUUCUUUAAACAGCUUGUCGUAAUACUUCUUGGCAAGUUCUUUUUCCCUGGAAGAGAAGAAGAUGAGAAGAAAUGUAGAAGAAAAACUCUAUAUCUAAAAGCAUAUUGAAUAUUAAAACUUGUUUUUAUAAGUAGUUUUUUAAUGAAUGAUCACCAUGUCAUGUCUUCCUCGUCCUCAUCCUUCCAGAGGAAACGAUGAUUCUCCCGCAGGACAUCGUAAUCUGUUUUGUCUUUAGCUCUGAGAGGGAAAGAAAAGAUUCAAAGAGAAGGCAGUUAAAGGAGAAACUUGCAACUUGUAUAAUUUGUAUUUAACACUGCUGUUGGAUGAAAACAAUGCAAAACCAAAGGUCUGUUACUGUUCACAUAUUCCUAUCCUAGAGUGACAGCUGGAUGACUGAUAGCCAAGCAUGACUGUGAGACACAUUACUUACGCUGUGCGAUGGAAGUCGGCCAUCUGUCCUCCAUAAUAAAGUAUGUAGUCACCAACAAACUUCUUAUGCCGCUCAAACUGGAGACAUCUGCUUAAGGUCAUUCUCUCUUUGAAUGCUAACAUUUUUAUACAAUGUGAAGUGCAAAAAUGUUAGAUGUCUCACAUUGCUUGAAAAUGUGAGACAUCUAAUCAGUUGCUUUUGAUAUAAAGGAAUUCAUUUUAAAUAAAGGAAAUUAUGUACGUAA